UAGGGGUUUUGCCCUAAUAGCGGCGAGUGAAGCGGCAAAAGCUCAAAUUUGAAAUCUGGCGUCUUUGGCGUCCGAGUUGUAAUUUGAAGAAGGUAUCUUUGGGCCCGGCUCUUGUCUAUGUUCCUUGGAACAGGACGUCACAGAGGGUGAGAAUCCCGUGCGAUGAGAUGACCCGGGUCUGUGUAAAGUUCCUUCGACGAGUCGAGUUGUUUGGGAAUGCAGCUCUAAGUGGGUGGUAAAUUCCAUCUAAAGCUAAAUAUUGGCGAGAGACCGAUAGCGAACAAGUACAGUGAUGGAAAGAUGAAAAGAACUUUGAAAAGAGAGUGAAAAAGUACGUGAAAUUGUUGAAAGGGAAGGGCUUGAGAUCAGACUUGGUAUUUUGCAUGCUGCUCUCUCGGGGGCGGCCGCUGCGGUUUACCGGGCCAGCAUCGGUUUGGAGCGGCAGGAUAAUGGCGGAGGAAUGUGGCACGGCUUCUGCUGUGUGUUAUAGCCUCUGACGAUGCUGCCAGCCUAGACCGAGGACUGCGGUUUUUAACCUAGGAUGUUGGCAUAAUGAUCUUAAGUCGCCCGUCUUGAAACCACGGACCCA
rnacentral:rRNA from 1 species